CUGGCGGCGUGCCUAACACAUGCAAGUCGAACGAAGCACUGUCGAAUGAGGAUUCGUCUGAAUUUGGCUUUGACUUAGUGGCGGACGGGUGAGUAAUGCGUGAGCAACCUGCCUUUCAGAGGGGGACAACAGUUGGAAACGACUGCUAAUACCGCAUGACAUAUUGAGAUCGCAUGGUUUUGAUAUUAAAGAUUUAUCGCUGAAAGAUGGGCUCACGUCUGAUUAGUUAGUUGGUGGGGUAAAGGCCUACCAAGACCAUGAUACGUAGCCGACCUGAGAGGGUGAUCGGCCACACUGGGACUGAGACACGGCCCAGACUCCUACGGGAGGCAGCAGUAGGGAAUCUUCCACAAUGGGUGAAAACCUGAUGGAGCAAUGCCGCGUGAAUGAAGAAGGUCUUCGGAUCGUAAAGUUCUGUUAUUAGAGAAGAACAAGUCAAGGAGUAACUGUCUUGACUUUGACGGUACCUAACCAGAAAGUCACGGCUAACUACGUG
rnacentral:rRNA from 1 species